rnacentral:rRNA from 1 species
AGAGUUUGAUCCUGGCUCAGAAUCAACGCUGGCGGCGUGCCUAACACAUGCAAGUCGAACGCGAAAGGGGCUUCGGCCCUGAGUAGAGUGGCGAACGGGUGAGUAACGCGUGGGUGAUCUACCUUCGAGUGGGGGAUAACGUUCCGAAAGGAGCGCUAAUACCGCAUGACGUUCUGGAUUUGAACAUCUGGAAACCAAAGCCGGGGACCGCAAGGCCUGGCGCUUGGAGAGGAGCCCGCGUCUGAUUAGCUAGUUGGCGGGGUAACGGCCCACCAAGGCGACGAUCAGUAGCCGGCCUGAGAGGGCGGACGGCCACACUGGGACUGAGACACGGCCCAGACUCCUACGGGAGGCAGCAGUGGGGAAUUGUUCGCAAUGGGCGCAAGCCUGACGACGCAACGCCGCGUGGGGGAUGAAGGUCUUCGGAUUGUAAACCCCUGUCGAGCGGGACGAAUAGCCCGCGACCUAAUACGUCGUGGGAAUGACGGUACCGCUAAAGGAAGCCACGGCUAACUCUGUGCCAGCAGCCGCGGUAAUACAGAGGUGGCAAGCGUUGUUCGGAAUUACUGGGCGUAAAGGGCGCGUAGGCGGCCUUCUAAGUCAGACGUGAAAUCCCCCGGCUUAACCUGGGAACUGCGUCUGAUACUGGGAGGCUAGAGUGCGGGAGAGGGAUGCGGAAUUCCAGGUGUAGCGGUGAAAUGCGUAGAUAUCUGGAGGAACACCGGUGGCGAAGGCGGCAUCCUGGACCGACACUGACGCUGAGGCGCGAAAGCUAGGGUAGCAAACGGGAUUAGAUACCCCGGUAGUCCUAGCCCUAAACGAUGAGUGCUUGGUGUGGCGGGUAUCGAUCCCUGCCGUGCCGAAGCUAACGCAUUAAGCACUCCGCCUGGGGAGUACGGUCGCAAGGCUGAAACUCAAAGGAAUUGACGG